UUCAUAGGAGUAUACAGGUGUCCGAAAUUUCUUUUUAGCAGUUGACUUCGAACUCUUAUUGGGGAUGAGGCCAAUCACCUUCACCACUGAAUGUCAUCUGUAUGCAAAUUUACAUCAAAACGUAUAAAAAUCAAGUCAUUUAUUCAUAUGUCAUGCGACUACACUUAAUAUGUUCAAGUUACUAGUACAUAUUUCAAGAUACUACACACAAACCAUUUUCAAAUAUUUAAUUGACAUUUUAUUUCACUAUACUUAACCAUUUUCAAAUAACUAAUAGACAUUUCAAGUAACUACACUUACCCAUUUUCAAGUCAAUAAGUACACAUUUCAAAUCACUACACUUAACUAUUUUCAAUUAACUAAAUCACAUUUCAAGUCAAUAUACUUAAUCAUUUUCAAGUAACUAUACUUUAUUAUUUUAAAGUUGUUAGUACGCAUUUCAAGUGACUACACUUAACCAUUUUCAAGCAUCAAGUUCACAAUUUCAAGUAACUACAGUUAACCGUUUUCAAGUCACAAGUUCACAAUUUCAAGUAACUACACUUAAUCAUUUUCAAGUCACUACAAUUAAUAAUUUUCAAAUAACUUAUUCACUAGUACACAUUUCAAGUCACUAAACUCAAACCAUUUUCAAAUAGCUAAUUAACAUUUCAAGUCACUAUACUUAANNNNNNNNNNNNNNNNNNNNNNNNNNNNNNNNNNNNNNNNNNNNNNNNNNNNNNNNNNNNNNNNNNNNNNNNNNNNNNNNNNNNNNNNNNNNNNNGUAACUACUUUACAUUUAAAAUAACUAUACUUAACCGUUUUCAAGUCACUACACUUAAUCAUUCAUUUCAAGUCACUAUACUUAACCACUUUCAAGUAACUAAUUCACGUUUCAAGUGACUACACUUAACCAUUUUCAAAUCACUAGUAACUGAUUUCAAGUCAAAAGUUUGCAAUUUCAAGUAACUACACCAAACCAUUUUCAAGUCACUACACUUAAUAAUUUUCAAAUAACUUAUUCUCAUUUCAAGUCACUACACUUGAACCAUUUCAAAUAGCUAAUUAACAUUUCAAUUCAUUAUACUUAACCAUUUUCAAGUCAUGUACUAGCAUUUCAAGUCACUAGACUUAAUCAUUUUCAAAUAACUAGUAGACAUUUCAAGUCACUACACUUAACAAUUUUUCAAAUAACUAAUUCACAUUUCAAGUCACUACACUUAACCAUUUUCAAAUAAUUAAUUCACAUUUCAAGUCACUACACUUGACCAUUUUCAAAUAAUUAAUUCACAUUUCAAGUCACUAUACUUAACCAUUUUCAAGUAACUACUUUACAUUUAAAAUAACUAUACUUAACCAUUCUCAAGUCACUACACUUAAUCAUUCAUUUCAAGUCACUAUACGUAACCACUUUCAAGUAACUAAUUCACAUUUCAAGUAACUAAACUUAACAAUUUUCAAGUCACUAGUAACCGAUUUCAAGUCACAAGUUUGCAAUUUCAAGUAACUACACUAAACCAUUUAAAAGUCACUGCACUACACUUAAUAAUUUUCAAAUAACUUAUUCACAUUUCAAGUCAAUACACUCAAACCAUUUCAAAUAGCUAAUUAACAUUUCAAGUCACUAUACUUAACCAUUUUUGAGUAACUACACUUAACCAUUUUCAAGUCAUGUACUAGCAUUUCAAGUCUCUAUACUUAAUCAUUUUCAAGUCACAAGUUCUCAAUUUCAAGCAACUACAUUUAAUCAUUUUCAAGUCACUACACUUAAUAAUUUUCAAAUAACUUAUUCACAUUUCAAGUCACUAGUACAUAUUUCAAGUCAUUUUCAAGUCAUGUAUUAGCAUUUUAAGUCACUACACUUAACUAUUUUCAGUUAACUAAUUCACAUUUUCAAGUCACUAUAUUUAACUAUUUUCAAAUAACUACACUUAACCAUUUUCAAGUCACUAGUUAUUUUACAAAUGAUUUUACAAAAAUCACCGUUAACACAUUUGCAAAAAAUUAAUGAUUUUGAUUAGGAAAUAAAUAAAUCUUUUCAAUAGAAUGAUUCUAAAUGGAGUGAAAAAUACUAUGCAAGAAAAGAAAGAAGGAAAACAAAAGCAUCUCAGAAAUGUUCCCCUAUUAUUAUCUUCAUUCAACAAUCAAAUGGCAAGGAUAACAAAUUGGAUUAUUCAUCAUUGAUGCCUUUUACGAGAAAAGGAAGAUAUUGCAUAAAACAAAUAAGAAAAGACUAAACAGAAGAGAUUGGAAAUAUCUAAAGUUUAGAUAUUAAAUUUAUCUAUUUUUAAUUUACCUCUAAAAAUUAGUCCAACUAACUUUUGAAAAGUGAAAUAUUACAAGUAAAAGUGAACAGAGAGAGUAGCUAUUUGAUGUGAGGCAGACAAAGGUCCACAUCUUGAACUAUCAGACUCAUAUCAAAGUCAUUUUCGCUAAACUUUUUUUUCAUUCAAAAGUUUUGAGGUGAAAGAUUAAGGAUCUAUCUGUUUUAUUUCUUGUACAAGGACAAGUAGACAUUAUUAGAUGCUUCUCAAUUUACUACUACUACUACUAACGCAUGGUGUAAACAGAAAGUGACAAUGUGACCUUAAACAUAGGCUUAAAAGAGGGCCAAAGUCUAUGUUGCUUUUUCAAAAUCGAAAAAAUCCAUUUUCCAACUUCUUUUCAAUCUUUUCUAUGUUUUGUACUACUUGAUAUUGAUGAAAAUAUCACUUUAUUCUUUUGUGGAUGAUGUAUGAAACAUCUUUUCAAUGUUUAAUAUGUUAUAAAGGUCAAAUCAAAGUUAUAGAAUCACAAUAAUUGAAUAUUCAAGGAAUUCAAUUUAAAAACAACUUAUAUAAAUGCACCUCUAACAGUAACGGUAUAAUAAUAAUUUUCAGGAAUAAUAUUUGGAACAAAAUAAUUGUAUUGUUGAACAGCUUGACAAGGUGAUACAUUUGGACCAAAAGAUAUAAUAAAAAAAUAUCAGUGAAUUUUAACCACAUCCUUCAUAAAUAGGUCCAAGGGCAUCCCAAAAUUUUUCUAUACAUUAUUAGUUGUUCCUGUGCUAGAACUAUACCAAAAGAUGGCUUUCUUUAUUUAGUAUGAUGUUAGAUCUCAGAAAAGUGAAAUACGAAAAAAAUUAAUAUAUCCUAAAAAUAGAGUUUGCUACAGAUUAUGAAAGUACAAAUAGAGAUAGCUCUUACCAAAGCCAAGCAGAUCACUGGUUUGUGUUGGACUGCGGCGCUUCAACGUGGGGAAGGGAUCAAGGAAGCGGCAACAGCUAUGGCUGCUUCGCCGGCUGCUGCUGGCAUUGGGCGACGACGCUUUGGCAGUGGGACGACGCUGGUUCGAUUGAUGGCUGGCGACGGAGAGAACGACGACCAUGGUUGUUUGUAAGAGAGAGGAGGUAGAGAGAUGGG
rnacentral:lncRNA from 1 species